UCGGUUCGACUAAGAGCUCCAGUAGGACUUCCCGAUUCUGUACUUACAAAGAUACUGGCUCAGUGUUGACACAAGCAGUCACAGGCAAACUGCAGCCGCCUUUUCCUCAAGAUAGUUUGCAGUUCCAGGAAAAAGCAUUCAGAAAUUGGGAGGCCUUGUCAUGUGAUCCCUGCAGAACAGAGGAAGACUUCCUGGAUCAAGUGAACAGGAAACUGGCCUGGACUAGCCCUGAGGAAAACCUGUUGACCACAAAGCCCUGUCACUGUGAGGAAAUCCUGAAGUUGGUUCUCUCACCUCUCACUCAGCACUGCUUGGUCACUGGAGAAACCACAUGCGCAUUCUAUUACCUGCUGGAAGCUGCUGCAGCUGCCUUGGACCUGUCGGAUAAUUACUUGGCCUUCUUUUACUUGAGGAAGGCAGGCAGUCUUCGGGGCCUGCCAUCGGCAUUCCCCUUCCUGAGAAAGCACACGGUGAAGAUCUGUCAGUUUGAGGAGGCCACUUUCUGCUGUCUGCGGUCAGAGGUGAGGGCAGCAGGUAACCUGCAAUACAGAGUCUU